rnacentral:rRNA from 1 species
UACAGAGGUCUCAAGCGUUGUUCGGAUUCAUUGGGCGUAAAGGGUGCGUAGGUGGCGCUGUAAGUCGGGUGUGAAAUUUCGGAGCUUAACUCCGAAACUGCAUUUGAUACUGCCUUGCUUGAGGACUGGAGAGGAGACUGGAAUUCACGGUGUAGCAGUGAAAUGCGCAGAUAUCAGGAGGAACACCGGUGGCGAAGGCGGGUCUCUGGGCCGAUACUGACGCUGAGGAGCGAAAGCGUGGGGAGCAAACAGG